rnacentral:tRNA from 1 species
GGUGGUGUAGUGUAGUUGGGUAAUGCGUCGGCGUACAUUGUCGAAGCCGCUAGUUCGAAUCCAGCCGGUACUC